AGCAGUAGCCACGGGAAUACGGAGGGUGCAAGCGUUAAUCGGAAUUACUGGGCGUAAAGCGCACGCAGGCGGUCUGACAAGUCAGAUGUGAAAUCCCCGGGCUUAACCUGGGAACUGCAUUUGAAACUGUCAGGCUGGAGUCUUGUAGAGGGGGGUAGAAUUCCAGGUGUAGCGGUGAAAUGCGUAGAGAUCUGGAGGAAUACCGGUGGCGAAGGCGGCCCCCUGGACAAAGACUGACGCUCAGGUGCGAAAGCGUGGGGAGCAAACAGGAUUAGAUACCCCAGUAGUCCCUGUCUCUUAUAC
rnacentral:rRNA from 1 species